rnacentral:rRNA from 1 species
GGGUCAGUAGGUUGGUCGUGCCACCGGUACGUACUGGUCUCACUGAUUCCUCCUUCCUGAAGAACCGUAAUGCCAUUAAUUUGGUGUUGCGGGGAAACAGGACUGUUACUUUGAAAAAAUUAGAGUUUUUAAAGCAAGCUAACGCUUGAAUACAUUAGCAUGGGAUAAUGAAAUAGGACGAUCGAUCCUAUUUUGUUGGUUUCUAGGAUUGACGUA